rnacentral:rRNA from 1 species
UACGUAGGGAGCAAGCGUUGUCCGGAAUCAUUGGGCGUAAAGCGCGCGUAGGCGGCUCGAUCAGUCUGUUGUGAAAGUCAAAGGCUCAACCUUUGAAUGCCGAUGGAUACUGUCGAGCUAGAGUCCGGAAGAGGCGGGUGGAAUUCCUGGUGUAGCGGUGGAAUGCGCAGAUAUCAGGAGGAACACCGACGGCGAAGGCAGCUCGCUGGGACGGUACUGACGCUGAGGCGCGAAAGCGUGGGGAGCGAACAGG